rnacentral:rRNA from 1 species
CCCUUAGAUGUUCUGGGCUGCACGCGCGCUACACUGAAGCGUUCAACGAGUAUUCACCUUGCCCGGGAGGGUUGGGUAAUCUUUUUAAAACGCUUCGUGAUGGGGAUAGAUUAUUGCAAUUAUUAAUCUUCAACGAGGAAUUCCUAGUAAGCGCGAGUCAUCAGCUUGUGUUGAUUACGUCCCUGCCCUUUGUACACACCGCCCGUCGCUCCUACCGAUUGAAUGUUCCGGUGAGCUCUUCGGACUGCGCGGUCUGCAGUUUCUGCGUUCCGUGCGGAAAGUUGCGCAAACCUUAACAUUUAGAGGAAGGAGAAGUCGUAACA